rnacentral:rRNA from 1 species
UACGAAGGGGGCUAGCGUUGCUCGGAAUCACUGGGCGUAAAGCGCACGUAGGCGGCUUGGCAAGUCAGGGGUGAAAGCUUUCGGCUCAACCGGAAAAGUGCCCCUGAUACUGCCGAGCUCGAGGGAGGUAGGGGCGGACGGAACUUCCGGUGGAGCGGUGAAAUGCGUUGAUAUCGCUAGGAACUCCGGUGGCGAAGGCGAGGUGCUGGACCAUUUCGUGACGCUGAGGCGCGAAAGCCAGGGGAGCGAACGGG